rnacentral:rRNA from 1 species
CCUACGGGUGGCAGCAGUCGAGAAUCAUUCACAAUGGGGGAAACCCUGAUGGUGUGACGCCGCGUGGGGGAAUGAAGGUCUUCGGAUUGUAAACCUCUGUCAUGUGGGAGCAAAUUAAAAAGAUAGUACCACAAGAGGAAGAGACGGCUAACUCUGUGCCACCAGCCCCGGUAAUACAGAGGUCUCAAGCGUUGUUCGGAAUCACUGGGCGUAAAGCGUGCGUAGGCUGUUUCGUAAGUCGUGUGUGAAAGGCGCGGGCUCAACCCGCGGACGGCACAUGAUACUGCGAGACUAGAGUAAGGGAGGGGGAACCGGAAUUCUCGGUGUAGCAGUGAAAUGCGUAGAGAUCGAGAGGAACACUCGUGGCGAAGGCGGGUUCCUGGACAUUAACUGACGCUGAGGCACGAAGGCCAGGGGAGCGAAAGGGAUUAGAUACCCGAGUAGUC